UUACCCUUGGUAUGCUUAUUUAUAUAUAUACUAAUUCUAAACUACACCAUGAACAGGAGUUGUUUCUGAUUGGACCACUUUGAUUUUUAUUUUAAUUUUUUUUUUAAAACGUCCGUGUAGGCCAAUAAGAAUAAGAUCGGUGUCCAUACAUGUGGUAAGCACCGCUUUUUUCAUCGAUUUUUGAGUCGGCUUUUUACCCCCAUUCAAUUUAGAUCAGUGUCCUCUCCACCGCUUCAUUUUCUUCCGGAUCCUCUACCGCCUCAUCUCCGCUUCUGACUUCUUAUCGGCCUUUGCUGGCGAUUUCCCCUAAACCAAGAAAACCGACAAGCCAAGAGUGUCGAUUCAUGCUCUGCGUCUAACCGAAGAUCCAAUCCCAGGUAUUUGUCCUUCGCUACCAUCAACGAAAGGGGAAGGACGGUCACAAGCCGACUGCUGACUUCAGCCGACACCCAGUUCAUCGCUUACCGCUCCAUCAUCCGCCCACAAUCGCCGCCCAACUACUUCUUCCAUAUUCACAUCGUCUUCUCCUUCAAUGGCAUCCAUAUAAUUUUGUCAGAUGAAUCUUCUUUGCAAGGUCAGUUAUGCUUGGGUACUAAAUUUGAAAACCCUGUUUAUGUUUUCUUUGUAUCCUUCAUUGAAGAGAUUUCUAGCAAUGGUUGAAGUAUUUGUUUAUUUUUGGUUUUAUUUGAUGUAAUUUACCGAUCAAGUUUUUCCAAAUUGGUUGUUGUCAAAUUCAUUUUUUUUUUUUUUUUUGUAAUUUACUGAUAAAAUUUAUGUAGUUUCCUGUUUUCUGAGUUCAUAUAAUUGUUUUUAAUUAUUUUUUUUUUAAAAUUUGGUUCAACCCCUCAAUUCGUCGUUAUUUGGUUCAAAACAAAAUAUCUGGUGAUUCUAUCAUAUUCAUGAUUUUCCUUGAUUUUUCUUACUGAGCUAACGGAAAUGUAAUUGCUAUCGUAUGCUAAUCAUUUCAGGUUAUCUAAAGUCAACAAACUCAUAUUUUUGUCAACGUAAAUCAUGGAAAUUUCCGAAAUUGAAGAGAAUAUGUUUGCGCUGGGUGAACCGAAGGUGUUGACCGUUUUCCCCGACUUAGAACCAGAUCAAAACGAGAAGGCAGAAGAAUUCCAAUAACUGGAUCAAAGAUAGAAACUAUACCGGCCGAUGAUUACUCUUUUUCGCUUUCCCUCUAAUUUUCCACUUGAAAUUGACUCUCUCUCUCUCACACACACACACAUACAUAAACGUACAGGCAUGUAGUAGUUUUAAUAGUUGCAUAUGGGUUGUUUUGCAGGUUUACAAAGGAUGGAGUGUUAGCUUCCAUUUCAUCACCAAGUUUACAAUUUUGAUGAAACAACACAAAAGUUUUGGUGAAUUAUAGUGUUGUUGGUUGAUUCCAUACGAGUAAGCGACUGUUUCUUUUUUAUUUUAUUGGCUAAGCACUUGAUAUUGACCCCAUUAAAGGUUUUUUUCCUGAAAAACACCCUCACUUUUACACCAGUCAUGAUAGGCAUCAGAGUAAACUAUCAAAGAAGCAUCGAACUCUUAAUGUUUUCUUGGUAGUUGGUGAUUGUAUCUUAGUUGGAUUACAGGUGAUUCUUCCUUCUUCAUUUCUUCUCUUCCAGUCAUACCAUGUAUAUUCAUUCCAUUGAAGCUGUUCAAGUUG